UACGUAGGGGGCAAGCGUUGUCCGGAAUUAUUGGGCGUAAAGAGCUCGUAGGCGGCCAGAUAGGUCCGUUGUGAAAACUGGAGGCUUAACCUCCAGCGGUCGAUGGAAACCAUCUGGCUAGAGUCCGGAAGAGGAGAGUGGAAUUCCAAGUGUAGCGGUGAAAUGCGUAGAGAUUUGGAGGAACACCAGUGGCGAAGGCGACUUUCUGGACAGUAACUGACGCUGAGGCGCGAAAGCUAGGGGAGCAAACAGG
rnacentral:rRNA from 1 species